rnacentral:rRNA from 1 species
CACGUAGGGUGCGAGCGUUAAUCGGAAUUACUGGGCGUAAAGCGUGCGCAGGCGGCUUUGCAAGACAGAUGUGAAAUCCCCGGGCUCAACCUGGGAACUGCAUUUGUGACUGCAAGGCUAGAGUACGGCAGAGGGGGAUGGAAUUCCGCGUGUAGCAGUGAAAUGCGUAGAUAUGCGGAGGAACACCGGUGGCGAAGGCAAUCCCCUGGGCCUGCACUGACGCUCAUGCACGAAAGCGUGGGGAGCAAACAGG